UAAAGAGGUCUCAAGCGUUGUUCGGAUUCAUUGGGCGUAAAGGGUGCGUAGGCGGCGCAGUAAGUCGGGUGUGAAAUCUCGGAGCUUAACUCCGAAACUGCAUUCGAUACUGCCGUGCUUGAGGACUGGAGAGGAGACUGGAAUUUACGGUGUAGCGGUGAAAUGCGUAGAUAUCGUAAGGAAGACCAGUGGCGAAGGCGGGUCUCUGGACAGUUCCUGACGCUGAGGCACGAAGGUCAGGGGAGCAAACGGG
rnacentral:rRNA from 1 species